rnacentral:rRNA from 1 species
CCUACGGGAGGCAGCAGUGGGGGAUAUUGCACAAUGGGGGGAACCCUGAUGCAGCGACGCCGCGUGGGUGAAGAAGCGCCUCGGCGCGUAAAGCCCUGUCAGCAGGGAAGAAAAUGACGGUACCUGAAGAAGAAGCCCCGGCUAACUACGUGCCAGCAGCCGCGGUAAUACGUAGGGGGCAAGCGUUAUCCGGAUUUACUGGGUGGAAAGGGGGCGCAGACGGCGAUGCAAGCCAGGCGUGAAAGCCCGGGGCCCAACCCCGGGACUGCUCUUGAAACUGCGUGGCUGGAGUGCAGGAGGGGCAGGCGGAAUUCCUGGUGUAGCGGUGAAAUGCGUAGAUAGCAGGAGGAACACCGGUGGCGAAGGCGGCCUGCUGGACUGCAACUGACGUUGAGGCCCGAAAGCGUGGGGAGCAAACAGGAUUAGAUACCCCAGUAGUC